AAGGAGAAUCACCUACUGUUUAAUUUUGAGGGUUCGUUUUUACGAAUACUCAAAAUUAGCACUUUUAGCAACGGGAUUUAUCCGUUGGCGCCGUGCUUUAGCACUUUGAAAACUGCAUAUAUAUUUAGUGAUAUGACAUCUAAUUUGUAAUAUAUAAAGCUGAUAACUUUUUAAAAUUAUCGAAGUUGAUAGCUUCUAAUCUAUCAAACCUUUUUAAC
rnacentral:misc_RNA from 1 species